CGUGGGGAUCAACCAGGAUUAGAUACCCUGGUAGUCCACGCAGUAAACGAUGAUUACUAGCUGUUUGCGAUACACAGUAAGCGGCACAGCGAAAGCGUUAAGUAAUCCACCUGGGGAGUACGCCGGCAACGGUGAAACUCAAAGGAAUUGACGGGGGCCCGCACAAGCGGAGGAACAUGUGGUUUAAUUCGAUGAUACGCGAGGAACCUUACCCGGGUUUGAACGCAUUCGGACCGGAGUGGAAACACUUCUUCUAGCAAUAGCCGUUUGCGAGGUGCUGCAUGGUUGUCGUCAGCUCGUGCCGUGAGGUGUCGGCUUAAGUGCCAUAACGAGCGCAACCCUUAUCACUAGUUACUAACAGGUCAUGCUGAGGACUCUAGUGAGACUGCCAGCGUAAGCUGUGAGGAAGGUGGGGAUGACGUCAAAUCAGCACGGCCCUUACAUCCGGGGCGACACACGUGUUACAAUGGUGGGGACAAAGGGCAGCUACCUGGCGACAGGAUGCUAAUCUCCAAACCUCAUCUCAGUUCGGAUCGAAGUCUGCAACCCGACUUCGUGAAGCUGGAUUCGCUAGUAAUCGCGCAUCAGCCAUGGCGCGGUGAAUACGUUCCCGGGCCUUGUACACACCGCCCGUCAAGCCAUGGGAGUUGGGGGUACCUAAAGUCCGUAACCGCAAGGAUCGGCCUAGGGUAAAACCGAUGACUGGGGCUAAGUCGUAACAAGGUAGCCGUACCGGAAGGUGCGGCUG
rnacentral:rRNA from 1 species